GAUGAAGAACGUAGCGGAAUGCGAUAAGUAAUGCGAAUUGCAGAAUCCGUGAGUCAUCGAAUCUUUGAACGCACAUUGCGCCCCUUGGUUAUUCCGAAGGGCAUGCCUGUUCGAGCGUCAUUAUCACCCCUCAAGCCCUGGCUUGGUGUUGGACUUUAGUUAUGGCUUUGCCUAUCAACUGGUCUCAAAGAUAGUGACGGCGCCCCAGAGGGAACCGGGUACGAGGAGCUUUUUACUAAGCAUGUAUCUGGGACGACUCUGAUGGGCGACGGUCUUGUUAUACUUUUUACCUAAGUGUUGACCUCGGAUCAGGUAGGAAUACCCGCUGAACUUAAGCAUAUCAAUAAGCGGAGGA
rnacentral:misc_RNA from 1 species